rnacentral:rRNA from 1 species
GAUGAACGCUGGCGGCGUGCCUAAUACAUGCAAGUCGAGCGAACGGACGAGAAGCUUGCUUCUCUGAUGUUAGCGGCGGACGGGUGAGUAACACGUGGAUAACCUACCUAUAAGACUGGGAUAACUUCGGGAAACCGGAGCUAAUACCGGAUAAUAUUUUGAACCGCAUGGUUCAAAAGUAAAAGACGGUCUUGCUGUCACUUAUAGAUGGAUCCGCGCUGCAUUAGCUAGUUGGUAAGGUAACGGCUUACCAAGGCAACGAUGCAUAGCCGACCUGAGAGGGUGAUCGGCCACACUGGAACUGAGACACGGUCCAGACUCCUGCGGGAGGCCGCAGUAGGGAAUCUUCCGCGAUGGGCGAAAGCCUGACGGAGCAACGCCGCGUGAGUGAUGAAGGUCUUCGGAUCGUAAAACUCUGUUAUUAGUGAAGAACAUAUGUGUAAGUAACUGUGCACAUCUUGACGGUACCUAAUCAGAAAGCCACGGCUAACUACGUG